UCGGUGUGCUGCGCGCCACACACACGCUCCCUCUCUGCCAAGAGGCUCACAGCGUGACUCCUUGCCACGGCUGCGCCUCGCGAAAGACAUGCACGCGCUGCCACAGCUACCUGCCUGCCAUCUUGCUGUCCUUGCGCACCCUCUUUCUCUCUUGUGCGUGCCAUCACUUUGCGUCCGUCCGUGCAGAUUCUGUGGUAGCUACAGCCAACACAGAGAUCCCGCGGAAGCGGCUGCGCGAGUGAGUUGGACUCGUGCGCGCCUUUCCCUGCUUCUUCUUCGUCUCUCUCUCUUUCUCUACCAUCCACCCACCCACACACAGACACCCUGGAUACAUGCGCACAGAGAACAGACGCGUGGCACGCCUAGUCGACUUCAUCAACUCCACUUUGUUCAAGCCGUGCCAUUGGGUGCGCAGGGGUUUUUCGCACAUCUCGCCUCUCCCUCCUUCUCUCUCUCCCCUCGCUUUCCCUACACCUUUUUGCUUAUAAUUGUGGCAUUUCCGUUUCUGCGCUAUUCGCUCUCUAUCGACUCUGCUGCUGCGCCCCUUCGCCUUGCUGCGGGUGUUGCGACUCCUCCUGCUCUUGCGGUACUCAGCUGACGCGUAGAGAAUCGACCCCUCCCCCUGCAGCAUCCCUUUCACGCGUACACACACACACACACACACACACAAGCACACAUUCGUCUCUGCGCACUUUCACUCUUGGUCACUCGAUCAACGCCUACGCUCAGCGUCUCUCCGACACACUCGUCUGCACGCGCACAAUCAUCCGCAUACCCUGGCCGGCACCAUGUCAGGCACGCCCAUGCAGACCCGCUUCGGGUGUUACAUCGGCAACAUUGACCGCUCCGUCACGAUCGAUAUGCUGAAGCAGGUGUUCUGCCAGUGCGGCACGAUCAUCGACUGCUCCCUGAAUGGGCGUGAGGGCGACCCGUACCGCUUUGGGUUUAUUGACUUCGCUACGGAGGAUGACCGCGCUCGCGCCAUGAAGUACAACGGCUUCACCCUCGUCGGCCGCAAGCUGAAGGUCGGCGUGAGCAAGGGCAACGUGAACAAACCUGAAGGUUAUGCGACCGGUAACGGCGCCGGCGGUGGCCACUCGCGCAUGGGCGGCAACCGCCACUACAACAACGAUGGCGGAAUGAUGAUGAGCGUCAACGGUCUCUCGCCGCAGCAGCAGAUGGAGGCACGAUUGCUCCUCCAGUUCCUUCAGGAGGGCAAGAUGGACCCGCGGCAGCUCUCACCGGCGCAGCAGCAGCUGCUCAUUACCUGUCUCGGUCACGGCAACAGCGGCAACGCAGUCAACGGGAGCAGCACGAACAGCGACAGUAGUACGCCGGCGUCGGCGCAGCAGCUGCAGAUGGGAGUAAUGGGCAGCAGCGCCAUGCAGUCAUCGCUGCCGCUGCCCACAAUGCACAAUAGCGGCAAUAUGAUGGGCGAUGCUGCUGCGUUCAUGCCAAACCCGAACACUGGCAACGCCGCCCCCGGCGCCGGCGUGCCCAUGAUGGGUGGUGGUGCCCCCCAAGGGAUUCACAUCAACAUGGGGCCCAGCAUGAUGGACCCGAUGAGUGGCGGUUACGGGAUGAUGCCGCCGCGCCAGCCGCAGCCGCAGCAGUGGGGUGAUAUGCCAAUAAACGGGCCUGGCAUGUACCCGCCCAAGAUGUGUGGGCCGCCUCUCAGGCAGCAGCCGCAGGUGCCGAUGCAAGCGGGCCAACAGCAACCGUACGGCCUAGGCGGCGGUGCAGCGUCGAUUAGCGGAUCUGGUGCGGCGGACCAGAACCGCGGCGGCUUCAUAAACCCUCCACCGGCGGCGGAAACGCUAAAGCUGCGGGAGAAGCAACGGGAGCAGUUUUUCGAAGUGGUCCGAAAGGACGCGGAGAAGUACGAGCGAAAGCUGCAGGAGAAGAAGGCGCAGUCGACGGCUGGCGGUGAUGCCGAGCGCAGCGCUGACAGCUCUGCCUCCGACGAUGAUGAGGACAAAAAGCCGGCGAAGAGGUCGAAAAAGGAAUCGUCCAAGUAACUGAUAAAGCUGCAGGUGGGCAGCAUACUGUGCGUGUGUGUGAGAGGGGUGCGCCCCGGGAAUAUGCGCAUAGAGGCACACCUUUGUGUGCUCGGGCGUGGAUGCUGCUGGCGCUGGCUGUGAUAGCAACACCCGCACCAGAAGGAACUCUUUCUUGUUUGAUUCGCCGUUUUUUUCGCUGUUGUUUGCGCUGUGUUUCCCGCUCCAGCCGAGUCCUGGCCUCGUAGGACUUGUCUCGAUAAUACCUGCGGAUGUCUCCUCCACCGCUCCCUGCGCUUUCCGUGGCGUCAGGGGGUUGUGCUGAGGCCGCGUGGAGACCGUCAGCGCGGCCGAGGGCGGGGCGUGGAAGGCUGUAAAGACGUGCUUGGCUGCAUGUGCUUUUUGACAUAACAGUUACCCAUGGCGGGUAACGUGUCGGCUGUUGCUGUUCUGGUUGUGCUUUUCUUUGUGUCUUUUGGCUCCGAUUCCACCGUCGCGGUGCGGCAGAUGCACUGACGCGGGCAAGUCUACGCGUGUGCUCGGUUGCGUGUGGUGUGAGCGUGGGAGGCGAGGGAGGGUGGGGGUGGUGGGAGGUAUGCUUGCGGCAGUGGUUGCUUACGUCUUUAUAUGUGUCUCUCUCGUUGCGUAGGUGCUUUGCGUGUAUGUAUCGGUAUGUGCGCGGGAGCAGCAUGGGUCACAGGAUGCGAUCCGAUGGCGAUGGCUGUGGGCGUGCCUGCAUACGCUUUCUUUCCAUGCUUUCUUUUCGAGCUGACUUUAUUAUUACGACCGUGGUGAGUUUGCUUCGUUCUCCCUUAGCCCCUAAACCUUCCACACCCUCACACAUCCUCCCUCCCUCCCACUCCCUCUCCCCACACACGCACACAGACACACACUCUCCUCCUUUAUUUUUUUUUUUCGUCAAGCACGGGUCCGAUGACGUCCUGCAUAAGAGCAGCAAAAAGAAAAAAAACGAGCGACACCCCGCCACGCCGUAAAGAACUCACUGCUGAAAGACGAGGAAACCCAUGACGUGCGCACUAAUAAUAAUAAAGGGCACUGCCCCGUGCGACGUGUGCGCUGUGCGGUCGACCCUUUGCUGCCUCUCAGAUCCCAUCUGUGGUGCCGGGGUGGGGAACCGCAGGGACGCCGUCAGAUCGCUGUAUCGGUCUUGCUUUCGCUCGAGGGUGUGGGAUAUUUAAGGAUGGGGCUGUGCCUUCUGCUGUCGAGCGCACCUCAUGACCACCCACGGCAGCUCACGCCUUCACCGUUAAGAGGAAUGAUGUCGCGCAUUCGUCGCGUCUCCCUCCAUAUCCCCCUCUUUCGCGCCUCUCACGCUCGCGGGGUGAUGCGUGCGCAUGCCUCAGGCUGCCCAUGCCGUGGGCUAUCGUGCACUUUAUUUGCUCGCUGUCCUUCUCUCAUCACCUCUCGCUCGGCGCGCGCGUGCGCUUCGGCGCGUCGCCUUCUCUCAUGCUGCACACAACGGCCAACGCAACACAAG
rnacentral:misc_RNA from 1 species